AGUGAACGCUGGCGGCGUGCCUAAUACAUGCAAGUCGAACGGAGUGGCGCACGGGUGAGUAAUAUAUAGCUAAUCUGCCCCUUGCUGGAGGACAACAGUUAGAAAUGACUGCUAAUACUCCAUAGCAAGGGAUGAGACUAUAUCGUAUCAGCUAGUCGGUGGGGUAACGGCCUACCGAGGCUAUGACGCGUAACUGGUCUGAGAGGAUGAUCAUUCACAUUGGAACGGGGACACGGUCAAAACUCUUCCGGGAGGCAGCAGUGGGGAAUAUUGCGCAAGGGGGGAAACCCGGAGGCAGCAACGCCGCGUGGAGGAUGACACUUUGCGGGGCGGAAACUCCUUUUGUUAGGGAAGCGUAACCUAAAAAAUAAGCACCGGCUAACUCCGUGCCAGCCGCCGCGGAAAAC
rnacentral:rRNA from 1 species